AUUAUUUUUAUUACAUUAAUAUAUUAGAAGUUUCAUUCAUCUCUUAAAAUAUUAUUGAAGAUUAUUUUUUUCCUACCAUGUAAACCAAAUGCCGGGUCACACUUGAUUGCAUGUUUUUUCGAAGUUUGCAUGCUUUAAAUUAACGAGUUUUCAUUAAAUCUAAACCACCUUAUGUACAAGUCAUCGUGUUUACUGGUUCGACGACGGGUCCAAACUUGAUGUAAAAGUAUUGUUCUCAUCUAAUUGAAAAUAAUUUAUUUUAAAAUAAUAGACGCA
rnacentral:lncRNA from 1 species